AGACCCGAAACCCGGUGAUCUAGCCAUGGGCAGGUUGAAGGUUGGGUAACACUAACUGGAGGACCGAACCGACUAAUGUUGAAAAAUUAGCGGAUGACCUGUGGCUGGGGGUGAAAGGCCAAUCAAACCGGGAGAUAGCUGGUUCUCCCCGAAAGCUAUUUAGGUAGCGCCUCGUGAAUUCAUCUCCGGGGGUAGAGCACUGUUUCGGCUAGGGGGCCAUCCCGGCUUACCAACCCGAUGCAAACUGCGAAUACCGGAGAAUGUUAUCACGGGAGACACACGGCGGGUGCUAACGUCCGUCGUGAAGAGGGAAACAACCCAGACCGCCAGCUAAGGUCCCAAAGUCAUGGUUAAGUGGGAAACGAUGUGGGAAGGCCCAGACAGCCAGGAUGUUGGCUUAGAAGCAGCCAUCAUUUAAAGAAAGCGUAAUAGCUCACUGGUCGAGUCGGCCUGCGCGGAAGAUGUAACGGGGCUAAACCAUGCACCGAAGCUGCGGCAGCGAACGUAUCACCCAAGACAACUUUACGGAGUUGACGAUUGACGGAGCGAAGCGACGUCAAAGCGUUCAUUAAAGUCGAGUUGGCUUAGGGAUACGUUCGUUGGGUAGGGGAGCGUUCUGUAAGCCUGUGAAGGUGUGUCGUGAGGCAUGCUGGAGGUAUCAGAAGUGCGAAUGCUGAC
rnacentral:rRNA from 2 species